rnacentral:rRNA from 1 species
CGGACGGGUGAGUAACGCGUGGAAAACCUGCCGUAUACUGGGGGAUAACACUUAGAAAUAGGUGCUAAUACCGCAUAAGCGCACAGCUUCGCAUGAAGCGGUGUGAAAAACUCUGGUGGUAUACGAUGGUUCCGCGUCUGAUUAGCUAGUUGGUGGGGUAAUGGCCCACCAAGGCGACGAUCAGUAGCCGGCCUGAGAGGGCGGACGGCCACAUUGGGACUGAGACACGGCCCAGACUCCUACGGGAGGCAGCAG